UGCAUAUCAAUAAGCGGAGGAAAAGAAACCAACAGGGAUUGCCUUAGUAGCGGCGAGUGAAGCGGCAAAAGCUCAAAUUUGAAAUCUGGCACUUUCAGUGUCCGAGUUGUAAUUUGAAGAAGGUAUCUUUGGGUCUGGCUCUUGUCUAUGUUUCUUGGAACAGAACGUCACAGAGGGUGAGAAUCCCGUGCGAUGAGAUGUCCCAGACCUAUGUAAAGUUCCUUCGAAGAGUCGAGUUGUUUGGGAAUGCAGCUCUAAGUGGGUGGUAAAUUCCAUCUAAAGCUAAAUAUUGGCGAGAGACCGAUAGCGAACAAGUACAGUGAUGGAAAGAUGAAAAGAACUUUGAAAAGAGAGUGAAAAAGUACGUGAAAUUGUUGAAAGGGAAGGGCUUGAGAUCAGACUUGGUAUUUUGUAUGUUACUCUCUCGGGGGUGGCCUCUACAGUUUACCGGGCCAGCAUCAGUUUGAGCGGUAGGAUAAGUGCAAAGAAAUGUGGCACUGCUUCGGUAGUGUGUUAUAGUCUUUGUCGAUACUGCCAGCUUAGACUGAGGACUGCGGCUUCGGCCUAGGAUGUUGGCAUAAUGAUCUUAAGUCGCCCGUCUUGA
rnacentral:rRNA from 1 species